rnacentral:rRNA from 1 species
CGCGGCCUAUCAGCUUGUUGGUGGGGUAAUGGCCCACCAAGGCUUCGACGGGUAGCCGGCCUGAGAGGGUGACCGGCCACACUGGGACUGAGACACGGCCCAGACUCCUACGGGAGGCAGCAGUGGGGAAUAUUGGACAAUGGGCGAAAGCCUGAUCCAGCAACGCCGCGUGAGGGAUGACGGCCUUCGGGUUGUAAACCUCUUUCAGCGCAGACGAAGCGAAAGUGACGGUAUGCGCAGAAGAAGCACCGGCCAACUACGUGCCAGCAGCCGCGGUAAUACGUAGGGUGCGAGCGUUGUCCGGAAUUAUUGGGCGUAAAGGGCUCGUAGGCGGUUUGUCACGUCAGGAGUGAAAACUCGGGGCUCAACCCCGAGCCUGCUUCUGAUACGGGCAGACUGGAGGUAUGCAGGGGAGAACGGAAUUCCUGGUGUAGCGGUGAAAUGCGCAGAUAUCAGGAGGAACACCGGUGGCGAAGGCGGUUCUCUGGGCAUUACCUGACGCUGAGGAGCGAAAGUGUGGGGAGCGAACAGGAUUAGAUACCCUGGUAGUCCACACCGUAAACGUUGGGCGCUAGGUGUGGGACUCAUUCCACGAGUUCCGUGCCGCAGCUAACGCAUUAAGCGCCCCGCCUGGGGAGUACGG